GACGAACGCUGGCGGCGUGCCUAAUACAUGCAAGUAGAACGCAGUUGCGAACGGGUGAGUAACGCGUAGGUAACUGCCUCAUAGCGGGGGAUAACUAUUGGAAACGAUAGCUAAUACCGCAUACUGUGAGAUGGACCUUCGUUGUAUUAGCUAGUUGGUGAGGUAAAGGCUCACCAAGGCGACGAUACAUAGCCGACCUGGGAGGGAGAUCGGCCAAACUGGGAAUGGGAAACCGGCCAGAAUGCUACGGGGGGCAGGAGUAGGGGAUCAUUGGAAAUGGAGGGAAGUCUGAACGAGCAACGGCGGGGGAGAGAAGAAAGUUUUCGGGGCGGAAAGCUAUGUUGUGAGAGAAGCGGUAACUAACGAGGAAGGGACGGCUAACUACGUGCCAGCAGCCGCGGUAAUUC
rnacentral:rRNA from 1 species